rnacentral:rRNA from 1 species
AACGAACGCUGGCGGCAGGCUUAACACAUGCAAGUCGAACGCCCCGCAAGGGGAGUGGCAGACGGGUGAGUAACACGUGGGAACGUGCCCUUCGCUACGGAAUAUUCCCGGGAAACUGGGAGCAAGGCCGUAUACGCCGUAUUGGGAAAGAUUUAUCGGCGAAGGAUCGGCCCGCGUUGGAUUAGCUAGUUGGCGGUGUAAUGGACCACCAAGGCUACGAUCCAUAGCUGGUCUGAGAGGACGACCAGCCACACUGGGACUGAGACACGGCCCAGACUCCUACGGGAGGCAGCAGUGGGGAAUCUUGGACAAUGGGCGCAAGCCUGAUCCAGCCAUGCCGCGUGAGUGAAGAAGGCCUUAGGGUUGUAAAACUCUUUCGCCGGAGAAGAUAAUGACGGUAUCCGGAGAAGAAGCCCCGGCUAACUUCGUGCCAGCCGCCGCCGUAA